UCCCUGGGGACUAGUGGUUAGGCCUCAGUGCGCUCACCACCGUGGCCCGGGUUCGAUUCCUGGCUAGGGAA